rnacentral:lncRNA from 1 species
GCGAACCGAGAGGGGAGGAGCUCCGCUGCCGGGACGGUGGGUGGCGGUGCGUCGACUGGUGGCGUCCUCCUGGAGAAUCCUGCAAGAAAGCCGGUGGCCGGGCUUUCCGGCGCCGGCCCUCCGAAGCUUAAGUCAGAGGGGGUUAAUAUGUGGGGAGUCAAGGAGGAGAAUGUUUGUUCUCUCUUUUUUGUGUAUAUCUGUGUCCGUGUGUCUCCUUUUCCCCCCAGGUUCUCUUUUAUAGGAAGAUAUUAUGUUACCUGGGAGGUGACAGAGAAAUUUGUCUUCUUUUGUGAUAAUUGGGCACGAUCACGCUCAUUAAUGGCAUUGUGGAGAAUAAGGCCGGAUCAGGCCGGAGUCAGGGAGUUGUCACGGUUGAUCGGACCCGUUGGGGUGGUUGAACCGCCGGCCGUGGUGGGCCUGGGGUUCGUAGAUAACAAGUGCAUUGAUUGCUGAGUGAACCGGUGGUCAGGGAGAGCCAUAUGCUUUGAUGGUUCAGUGAUCCGGAGAUCAUCUUGAGCCGUGUUCAUUUAAUGGCCGAGUGCAUCGGAGGCCUGAGGGGGUCUCAUGCAUUAAUGAUAGGGCGUGCCGAAUGCCGGCAGAGAUCACGUGCCUUGAUGACCUAGGAAUGGUGGCAGAUUGUAGUGGAGUCAUGUAUUUAGUUGUCAGAUCCUUUAGAGGAUUAGGUGGAGAUUGGAUAUUUGGCUAAGGUACGGGCCUGGCUCGGGUGCUGAGCCGAGCCGGUUGCUUAGCGGAGUGUCCUGUGGCGGGGUUGCUUCUCUUGGUCGGCGCUCUUUGGUCGAGCACCUCUCUGGUCGGCGCUCUUUGGCCGAGCGCCUUCAGACUGGCACGACUUGGGUUUUUCCCCCAACACUACCCCCCGACUUCCGAGUUCCAGCUGGCCACCAGCUUGAGCGCGGGAAGUAGUUUUAGUCGGGCCAUUAUGAGUUAAAAGAGAAUUUUGAAUUAUCGCGCGUUUCGAAUUAUCGGGCGCUUCGAGGUGCCUCUAAUGGGCGGCGUCUCUUCUUUUCCGAAAAUGCCUCAUUAUUGGGACGCCUUCUCCGAAGCGUCCUCGCGUCGUGGGCUCAUGAUGGAGCCGCAUGAUCCGACGGGGCGCUUCUGUGUUCGAAGCGUCAGCCCGAAUUAAAUGUGGCGCUCCGUCUUUUGGGUCAACACGCGUCGUGAUCCGAACGGGGAGCAGCGUUUUUUCUCGCUGAUCUGGGCCGUUGGAGGGAUUUAUAUAAAUCCUCACCUGGCC